rnacentral:antisense_RNA from 1 species
AGCAAGCGGCUACGUCCCCUUCCACGCUGUGGGGGUUUGUUCUUUCGCUCUUUGCAAUAGAUCUUGUUGCUGCUCACUCUUUAAGUUCAUACUGCCUUUAUGAGCUGUGACAUUCACCGCGAAGGUUUGCAGCUACACUCCUUAAGCCAGGGAGACCACUAACCCACCAGGAGGAACGAACAAACAACUCCAGAUGCGGGGCCUUAAGAGCUGUAACACUCACCGCGAAGGUCCGCAGCUUCACUCCUGAGCUAGCGUGACCACGAACUCACCAGAAGGAAAAAACUCCGAACGCAUCCGAACAUGAGAAGGAACAAACUCCGAACGCGCCUCCUUUAAGAACUGUAACACUCCCGCGACGGUCCGCGGCUUCGUUCUUGAAGUCAGUCAGACCAAGAACCUACCAAUUCCGGACACACCAUCGGGGGACAUGAUAAAUCUGGGAAGGGCACCUCAGGUUUUAUCUUCAUCAGCCUGGUCAAAGCUGGAUUUCCAUCACACAUGUGCUCACUCCACGGAACGUGCAAAAGGUCAAGACACACAAACUCAAGAGUUUUUAAAAUCAAGAAUUGAAAGU